rnacentral:misc_RNA from 1 species
AAGUCGUAACAAGGUUUCCGUAGGUGAACCUGCGGAAGGAUCAUUAACACUUUUAAUGAGCAUCCAAAACCUUUUUUGGAUCAACCCAACCAUUUUGCGAACCAAUUUUCUUCAUUUUAAUUUUUACAUUUUAUUUAAACUCUAUUAUUUUAUCAUUUGUGUCUGAUCCUUUUAUCGCUUUUUUUCUUUUAAUCGAGAAAAAACGAAAAAAAAAAUCUAACGCAAUACAACUCUUAACAACGGAUAUCUUGGCUCUC